GAGGCAGAAAUUACUUGGUCAACAAAACGAUUGAGAAGAAGUGAAGUCUGUAGCUGUUUGGACCUGAAUUCUUUAUCAAAUUCGUUUAUAUAUAUGUGUUUGCAAUAUUUGGGAUUGGGUUAUUGAAAUAAUUGAAACCAGAGCAAGCCAAACGAAAAGCCAAUAGAAAACUAACCAGAUGUUUGCUUUCUGGCUUGUGUUUUUGUCAUUAACAUCUCCAACAACAGCUAAAGGUUCACCAGAUGUAGUCUCUGGUUGUCCUGACACGUGCGGCAAUGUUCAUGUUCCAUACCCAUUUGGAAUCAACAUCACAUCAGAGAUAAGUGAUCCUAGAUGUGCCUUAAAUAACUCUGAAUUCAUGUUUACUUGCAAUUCUAGUUACAAUCCUCCUCAACUAUUUUUUGGUGAAAACAUGCCGAUUCACAAUAUCUCGGUGGAAGAAGGCACAAUCUCUGUAAGAAUUGAUGCAGCAUAUAACUGCUACAACAAUACAGGGUUGAUCAAUAACUUCAGACAGUCCAUCAGGUUGGGAAGUGGCCCAUUCAGGUUCUCGGAUUCUCGUAACAAGCUAACUGUUGUUGGGUGUGAUACCUUAGCCCUCAUGGAAGAUGCAGCACAGACUUUCGGUAGUGGCUGUGUAUCUCUAUGUGGUAAGAACAUGACUCUACAGGGUUCCUGCUCAGGUUUUGGGUGCUGUCAGACUCCAAUACCGCGGAGUCUCAAGACAUUAAAUAUUAGUCUUGCAAGUCCAAGAAACCACAGCAUAGUUUGGCAAUUCAAUCCCUGCGAAUUUGCCUUUCUGGCAGAUGAAAGGACUUACAAUGUUUCUGAUCUGCAGCUUUCUUAUAAUCCACUUUCGCCUGCAAGUAAAGGAUUUGUAAAUUCAGAAAAUGUGAUUGAAUGGGUAGUAAGAGAGGAAACAUGUGAAGCAGCUCAAUCAAGUUCAAACCCGAACGAAUAUGCCUGUGGCGAUAAUUCUAAUUGCUUAUACUCUGUUAAUGGCCAGGGAUAUCGUUGUGUAUGCAAAGAUGGAUUCACAGGGAAUCCCGAUCUCCCACAAGGAUGCCAAGACAUCGAUGAGUGCAAAGAACCAGAUAAGUACAAAUGUGAUGGCACUUGCAAGAAUACUUUUGGGGCUUAUACUUGCCGCUGCCCUCUUGGGAUGCGCGGCGAUGGUAAAGUUGCUUGUCGAGGAUUUCGCGUUACAACAAUUGCUGCAGUUAUUGGAGCAAUUUUGUUGAUUAUGGUUAUUGCUUUCUUGAUCAUCAUUAUCUACAAAAGGCGAAGAAAGGAGAGAAAAUUUCUGGAAAAUGGAGGCAUGUUGUUGAAGCAUCAACGAGUAAGAAUCUUCAGCGAAGCAGAGUUAGUAAAGGCUACCAAGAACUUUGAUGCAAGUCACCUUCUUGGAGAAGGGGGUUUUGGAUAUGUUUACCGAGGAUUUUUGGCCGAUGAUACUCAGGUUGCAGUAAAGAAGUCGAAAGACUUGGGCAAAACUCUACUAAAUCGGGAGUUUCAAAAAGAAAUUGGCAUUGUUUCGCAGGUAAACCAUAAAAAUGUUGUCAAGAUCAUAGGCCUGUGUUUGGAGACCAAAGUUCCAUUGUUAGUUUACGAAUUCAUUUCAAAUGGAACCCUUUUCGACCAUAUUCAUCACAAGAGGUCUCAGAUAUUAGCAAACUGGAAAAAUCGCUUGAGGAUUGCAGCAGAGUCUGCCCUAGCACUUGACUACUUGCAUUCUUUAGCAGAUCCUCCAAUUAUUCAUGGAGAUGUGAAGUCAUCGAACAUACUCUUA
rnacentral:misc_RNA from 1 species